rnacentral:lncRNA from 1 species
UUUUUUUUUUUUUUUUUUUUUUAUCCUUUCGGAGGACAAUAAUAUUUUUAUAACCUAUUCUAUCAAAAUCUAAAGUCUAAAAAGAGAUUGUAUAUAAGGGACUGGUGGCCGCCGAGCCAACAAUGCCUAGAAAAUUUGAAGAAACACAUUCAUGACUGGAAAGGGUUGCUUAGCAGACAGUAAGGAACUUUAACCGAUGGGAGUCACAGGACAAAAAGCUGAAGUGCUACACCAGCAUUUGAACUUUAAAUGCGUUGGGUCCAACAAUGCACAAAAAAGCACAAGACUGCAUCUAUGUUUCACUCAUUUCUCAAACCUUAUGCUUAUUCUUAUCUGCGUCCUCAAAUAGUGCCUCUAUCUCCUCUAGACUCUUGCCCUUUGUUUCUGGUAAGCAAAAGUAGAAGAAGAUGGUAGCUGCCACCAUUAUUCCUGAAAGUACAAAGAACACACCCCCAAACGUUAUCUUCGUUGAAAUGGUAAGAAAUGUCAUAGACACCACCCCACUAACCAGCCUAUUGACUGAGAUCGCUAGGCUGGAACCUUGGGCCCGCAAUCUCAUUGGGAAAAUUUCGGAAGAGUAUACCCAGGUAAUCGGACCAAGCCCAAUUGAAAAGAAGGACACGUCAGAACAAACAGCUAGCACACACAGUGCAAUUGCCCACAAAGGCUUCCUGCGAGAACGCUGAAGGAACGUGGACCCAAUUCCCAACCCAGCCAGCGAAAAGGCCAUGCCCGUCGUUCCCAUUAAUAACAAGGGCCUCCUACCAUAGUGAUCCAAGAAGAGAGCUGAAACCAACACAAAGGAAGUCUUGGCUAUUCCCAUUAUGACCGUGACCCCAACAAGCCCCUUCCGGCUAUGAAUUCCGGCGGACUUAAACACCGAAGGCGUGUAGUAAACAACUGCAUCAUUGCCCGAGGCUUGCAUGAAAAAGUUUAUCCCAAUGGCGGCGACAAGAAUCCUGCGAAGCGGCUUAGAAGGCCUUAGAAGUUCCUUCCAGACCCCCUGUCCGUGCCAAUCAUUUGAGCUGGGCAAUUCUGAUUUUGGGCUUCCAUUUGGACUAGUAGUACCAUCUUCAACCACCAAAGAAGCAGCUCUGGUUAUUUCGUCAAGCCUUUCCUUGGCUUCUCGCUCAUUAUCAGAAGUUUUGAUCAACACCUUCUUGGCUUCUCCAGUCUUGCCCUUCAUGACUAGCCACCGGGGUGAUUCCGGCAUUUUCAUCACCCCAAUAGCUAUAGCAAUGGCCGGAAAGCCGGCCAGGCCAAGCAUUAGCCUCCAGUUAAUGUGUGGUGGAAGCCCUGAGAAUGCGUAGUUGAAGAUAUAUCCCAGUAAUAUGCCUACGUUAAUAAACACUUCAGGGAGUGAUGUGAGGAAGCCGCGCGUCAUGGCGGGAGAUACCUCGGCGGAGUACACCGGUGCAAUCAUGAGAGAGGAUCCCACUCCGAUACCGGCAAUGACCCUUCCGGCCAUGAGGAAGGGGAACGAGGGGGCCAGUCCCAUUAGUAGUGCACCGAUCAAGAAUGUCAAGGCGGCCAAGACAAUGGUGUAACGCCGGCCUAUCCAAUCGGAAGUCUUGCCGGAGGCGAAUGAUCCAAUCAAAGAACACACGUUGAGUGUGCCCACCAAAAUCUCUACCUUAACUGAUGAAAUCUUGAGCGCAUCCUUGAUGUACAGCACUGCUCCGCUCAUCACCCCGAUGUCUAAAAUUAAUCAAUUCAUUAGAACUCAGUAAUACUAAUAAUUAAAAUGCUCCAUUCAAAGACUACCAAUAAAAUAAAAAAUUGUUAACCUGAACACGUACGAGUAAGCUGACCAAUCGAGUGCAAAAAAAUUAUGGGAAUGCAAGAAGUAACACAGCAGUAAUAUGAGCGACGGACGGUCGAUGAUGUUAACGUAAUUACCGUAGCCCAGAAGAAUGGAAUUGGUGGAAGCCAAAACGGCACAUGCCAAGGCAUACUUGUUAAGGCGAGGAGGGCUCUGGUUGGUGGAUUGGGACUGUGACUCUAGUGCCGCCGUCUCCCUGGCAUCCGUAGCUGAUUUCACUCCGCCUCCUUCUUCCAUGCGCUGUAUUAUUUGCCGAGAAAAAUUUGUGGGGGUCCUAUUACUGAGGAACCAACUGCUAAGACGUCGAAUUUUGGUUUAAAGUAGGGAGAACGUAAUCUGUAUUGAGAAAUGGAUAAACGAGCACUGUUGUUAGGCAUGGGUGAGUGGAUUUUUGGUUAAAACUGAUUCUGUGUAAUCGUUCGGGGUGUAGCGCUUUCGUAAAUGAGUACUUCGUGGUAAUUGCGCUAACAGAUUUGCCAAAGUACAAGGAAGGAUUAUGGAUGGAUGUAUAACUGCUUAGCAUGGCAAAACUAAUUUGUGUUAACAGAUUAGCCUAAACUAUUCUCGCGUUGCACUUUGCACUCUUAACUUUGGAUGGCAGCACCCUUUUUUUUUUUUUUUUCCGUUUAAGUGUAAAUUAGAGGGUCGAACUUACGAACUUUCACUUACACUUUCUUUCCGAACCACUCAACUCAUCUCUUUCCCCCCUCUCUUGCAGCACUUAACUACCUUUAACUUGUAAUUCAUUGUACAAUUUUAAAUGAAACUAUGUUCGGCGGAAAAGAAUGUUUAUGCAAUCGAUAUACCCUGAAUAAUCGUGGCUAAUUGCCUAAAAUACUCUACAAGUGCAUGUGACUCUGAAAAUCCUAUCCACUAUCCCUGUGUCUUUGUUUUCCAGUAGAACUCUUUUUCACUCCGCCGUCUCUCAGCAAAACUCAACUCAAUUCCACUCUUAGUUAAUAAUCCCUUCUAAUCUGAAAUGGCAGUAAAAUGGAUGCACUUUUGCAUACUCCCUGCGGACUGCGUAAGCCUAAACUUUACUACAAGGAUGCAUGAUUUUGGCUAUGUAACUGUUUGUUCACGGGAAGCGUGAUGCUUACCAAACCUGAAAAAUACGCUGGAUUGAUGUGGGCUUUACGUAACUUGGGGAAUGGCAUGAAAUUGGUCAUGAACGAACUACGUACCCGACUCUCUAUUGAUUUUCAGAAAAUGGAAAAGCCUAGUUGUAAGCUGGCAUUGAGGUUCUUGACUCAACUUUGCUCGCACGGAACAUAUUUCUCUGGUAACCUAGGAUAGGACAAGUGGAUACGACAUAACAUCUCUCUUCUAAAACUAUAAAAUUCGUGUGUUCUCUUCUAAAACAGCUAAUCUUCAUUUCAUCUUAGGCCAAUCAUUAAUCUUAGCAUCUUGUAGUAGUUAAGGUUUUCCAUUUUAGACCAAUCACUAAUGCCAAUGUUUAUGUUUGAGAGGAAGAACAUUGUCUGAGCAUCUAAUUCAAGCCUGGCGGCCGAAAAUUCGGAUAGGUUAACCUCUCAGUGAGUAUAUACCGCGCGAAUAGCUUUUCCUUUCUCCACCAUCUUCAAACACGGUCAUCUAAUUCUAUCAAUAUAUAUAUAGAAAACAAAAUCAACGAUAAAAAUACGGCCUGCUAAAAGAGCUAUUACUGAAAAUUAUGGAUUUUUUUUUUUUUGCGUUUGAUGUCAUACUAUCAUGUAUUUGAUAGAGUGUCUCAGGGGAAAAAUGAUUAAUGAAUGAGCUUACAGUAAUUAACUGCCUCAACAAAUCCAAAGCAAUCAGUGGACCCGGAACCAAAUUCUGCCCCGCUCCGGGAACCUGGCUUCCUGUGUUCCCCAACACGGUCACUCGUCAGAAACCAAAGAAAGAGGAAGCAACCACAGAAUGAGAAAUUCUUGCCGUCAGAAAAGGAGAGGAAAAAAGAAAGCGUCGCCUGAGAGAUUCGAACUCUCGCGGGGAAACCCCAUGUACUUAGCAGGCACACGCCUUAACCACUCGGCCAAAGCGACACCAUUUGGUUGGUUGACAGCCAAAGCACCCUUUAAAAUGAUGCUACUAAGCACUUGGCCGUGUCUUUUUUUUUUACCUUCUUUUUUUUGGUCCCUUCCUUUCUUUCUUCAGUAGGCAAUUGGGCAGGUAAAGCUCAACUAGCGAUGCUUGUUCGGCAUUCGAGAAGUGAAGAGUGAGGCUGAUGUUAGUUGUUACCACUUACCACUCUCAAGAAUUAAAAGAGCAUGCAAAAACCACAUACACUGAGUUGAAGGCUAGAAAUUGAGUGAGUGGCUAGAUUGCUUUACCAAGAACGCGGUGUAUUUUCAAACUUCAAAGGGAAGUGCACCUCAAGAUUUCUUUGCACUUUACCACUUCCGCGCAGCCUUGUUCUUCUUCCACUAGCUACGGAGCAUUAGAUAUGAAUAGAUGAGGGAUCGAUUUUAUAAGCCAUGACGCAGGAAUAGUUGUUUUUAUAUGGAGAGCGUGAAUGUGGGCUUGGAAAUGGGUGCCGUUUUUUGGUUCCAGUGCUGAAUAUUAUUCCCUGAUGCCUGCACUCACCUCUCAGUAUUCGGUGUAAAUUUGCUGUUUUAUUGCCCAGCCCAAUGCGGCAUAAAUGGUGUAGAUAGUAGUGGGUUGGGAGUAGACCGGACCGGAAUCCGGAUUGUCUGUGGAUUGUCUGAGAAGCAGACAAUCAGGACCAGAAUCCCAAAAUUAUGCUACAAUAUCCCCAAUCCACUGUACUAAGAAACUAGUAUGCAACCAAGAGUACCAAGAGAGCUUUAAAAGCUUUGCCUGGGCGUAUCCCCUUACCUGCAUCCUAAAAAUUCAGGCUUUUUGGAGAUUUUCGUUAGCGGGUACGUAGGCAUUCAUUCUCCGAUUUUUCCUUGGAUUUCUUCAAAACUCCCCCCCCUCCCCCGGUAAUAUAGAAUAGGAAUAAAUUUAGAAUAGAUUCUAUCGUAUUAAACAAAAAAAUCUAGUAUGCAACUGGUAGCACCAGAAUUGACACUCCUCAAAAAAAUUUCAGCCAUUCCUUCCCUUUUUUUUUUUUUUUACAUCAGAGGAAGUUUUUAAAUAGUGCCUGAGAUUUUUUAAGGAAUGCUAUAUCAUUUCCCUUUCUUUUAGGUCUCUUGUGUUCUUUAUGCUGCUAUCUUCUUUUUUUUUUCAUCACUGUGAUAUCCGAAUCUACACCCGAUUAAUUCCACAGUGCUCCAGCAGAGCGGGUCCGACCAAUGCUGAAGAAGAUAACAACUGAAUUGCUGCCCGGGAUCGAACCCAGAUAAAACUCACCUAAGGAGGCUACUUCCACCAGCAAACCAACCCAGCGCGGGCAUGUUCUUUAUGCUGCUAUCUUUUGCCAUAACUGCCGGCUUUCACUGUUUAAUUUCGUCAUAUUCUGAAUGUAUUGAAGCGCUCCCUCCCUCUUUCGUGAUAAAUUGUUGACAUUGCUGGUCCAAUUCAUACGAGUUUUCAAAUCAUCCCUUGUAACAGAUGACCCCUUGCUGUAACUUUAUCAAACUUAGUUGCUCUGCGGUUUGCUAACCGCUUGUUACUUGGUUGCACACUUGAUACAUAAAAGUCUGGUGUAGUUGCAAUAGCAUGCACCACGUGAAAUCGAAUCACCCGAACUCAAAUGCAUGAAGGAAGAGCCAACUAUCCGGACUCGUCAUCCAUGCAAGCUAAAGCAGACGAAAUAAAUUUUUUUUUUUUUUUAAAAAAAAAGGAAUGGUACCGUAAUGUAGCACCGUGAAAGGCAUUGAUUUUCAUGCCAUCGUGCAGAUUAUCUACAAAACAAAAUAUUUUGUGUUUUAACUUCAGCUACUGCGGUGCUCGACAAAGCACUUGAAAAGGCCUGCGGCGGUUCUAGAAUCAUUUACCUCUAACAAGUAACAAUAGGCUACAAAGAAUACCAGUGGUAAGUCUACAAUAUCUACAAUGUUUAAAGCUUUACCUCACCUUUCCAAGAUUAAUUUUCAACAGGAAUUCAUGUGACUUUUGCACUAUAAACAACUCCAAUAAUGUCUGAAGCAACAUGUGAAAACCAAUUAACAGCAGUACCAAAGAGGAGUUCCCAGAACCAGA